CGAAAGAGUGUUCCUCAGCUUGUGGAGGUCAGCGACUCCGGGAUCCUCGAAAACUCUUUCGAUCACAUAGUCGGUGAUCUUACCUAUCACGCUCCCGAUGAGGGACGAUCCGAACGAUCCCAAGCCUGCUAGUAUCCACGACGACAUCGCAGUGCAGGGCUGAUCCUUCUUUCUCCAAGCACAAAGGUUAGAGGAUUCUCAGAGUAGAAGGAUAUUUUCAGCCACAACAACAACUCCUCAAGAAGCAGCCCUCAAAAGUGCGGUUGGCAGCAUCAAGUAUUGGAGGCUGCACGUGCUACGCACCAAACUUCUUCACUAGUCUGAUCUAAGCCAAUUCUCCACCACUUGGCUUUCUGGGAGUGUUUGUUUAUUCCACCAGCUGUAGUUGGCCGUUCGUCGACACAAGAAUUAGUUUUAUUUUCUGAAAUGAAACUCAACUUUAGGACAAGAAACACAUAAAUAAAUAAAUAAAUUUCUUAGAUGGAAAGUCUUUUUUUAUUUAAAAGUAUGCAAAUACUAUGCUAUAUGAAAGAAUUAAAAUCUUAGCCAAAUGUAUUUGACAAGAUUGUUUGAAUUGAAAGAUAAAUUUUAAUUGAAUUAGUUCUGUGACUCAAAUUUUACAUAUAGUAUUCGGUGUCAUCUAUGUACUUAGUCCUUUGGACAUUAUCUCACAACAUAAAAUGAUAUUAAUAUUUUAUAAUUUAAUUUUAGAUAAUUAAUUUUAUCAUGUAUUGCUUUUAAGCUUCAACGAUAAACUCCUAGUCUUGGAAUAGGAAUAUUCGAUUUUGUCAAUUUCUUCUUGAAUGAUAUCCUCUUACCCUUAGUUGUGUUCCUCUACUUGCUAUUGUGUAUCGUGCUUUACUUCUUCGAUGCCAUGGAGGUGUUUGACAAUGAAGUUUCUGUCCAAACCUCUUCUACCAAAAACUGAAACUUGUUUUGGCAUUUUAAUUUCUUUUAAUGCUUCUAAUUAUAUAGCAUCAUUAACUCUUUGAUCACACGUCCAAUCUUGCACACGCACUUACAGGUAAAGAGAAUGUAAAUAUUCUGUAAUUAUUUUCGACACUAAUAAGAUAAACAUAAUUUCUGAAAUCAAUUAUUAUGCCCAUGUGAUUUUUUUAUUUAUAGUAAAUCGUUCUUUUGUCAUACAGGUGAAACAUUUGUUAUGUGCUAAAAAAAGAAAGAUGUGCUACGAGAUAUAUAUAGAAAAACUAAUCUUUGUGUCACUUAAAUGCAAAGUAUGGUGGCAUAAAAGAGUGUGUAGCAUCAAAUUCUAUUAAUAUAGUAAGUGGCACAUGACAAAGUAGAAUUAUUAUACAUUGCAUAAUUGUUCCCAAAGCUUGAGAAUCCUGAUGAGUCAGACCAAAAGCUAAAGCUAUUACUGAUGCGAGAUGUCUACUAGUAGUCCUUUGGAUUGUGAUCAGAUGCCGACAAUGGAAGCAUACUCGUGCUGUCGAGCAACUCGAGGAAACAUGAUUAGUUUUCCUAUAAUUAAAAUAACUCACCACGAUUCGCCCGGAUGCACUCAUCUUGUGGUCAUGUGGAAACAUGACGUGGACCCUCGUGUUCACCAUGAUCAAAGCCCACGUGACUCAACGAGUCAUGAUCACCUAAUAUUAUUAAAGUUAUUCCAAUAUUUUGUACAUUAUGAUUUAGUUUCAAAUUUCUAUAGAUUACUAAUAUCAUAAAAAAUUAUCAUAUCCCAAAUAGAUGAAGAUGUUAUUGUAUGAUGUGCCUUAUUUCUUCGAGGCCAUGGAGGUGUUUGAACUAGUCAUCUAUGGAUGGCCAAACCUUUUUUAGUUUAGGUUAAAAAACUGAAACUUUUUCUGGCAUUUUAAUUUCUUUGAGUGCUUCUAAUUAUUUAGCAUCAUUAACUCUCUUCAGUUUGAUCACACGUUCCACACGCACUUACACGGGUAAAGAGAAUGCAAAUGUCCUGCAAUUAUUCUCAACACCAAUAAGUUAAACACAUCUUGUAAACAUAUUUUCUGAAAUCAAUUGUUAUGUCAAUGUGAUUUUUUCUUUUAGUAAACAGUUCUUUUAUCAUACAAGCAAAAUAUUUGUUAUGUACUAAAAAAGAUAGAUGUGAUGUGCUACGAGAUAUACAUAGGAAAACUUUGUGCAACCUCAAUGCAAAGUAUGGUGGAAUAGAAGAGUGUGUUGAACCAUAUUCCAUUAAUGUAUUAACUGGCAUAUGACAAAGUAGAAUUAUACCUUGCAUAAUUGUUUUUGAGCAUCAUUUUCGUGGUUAUCCUCCAAGCUACUGCUGAUGCUGAGAUCUCUACUGGUAGUCCUUUAGAUUGUGAUCAGGCUGCUGACAAUGAAACCAUACUCGUCCUGUCAAGCAACUCGAGGAAACGUGAUUAGUUUUCCUAUAAUUAAAAUAUCUCACCACGAUAUGCCCGGAUGCACUCAUCUUUUUCUACUAUUGAUGUUGUGGUGGUGAUUGUGGAUGAUGACGAGCCUUCUUUGGAGGUUCCCCACCAUGAAAAGUAGAUCUCUUCUUUUAUGAUAUGUUAGCGCAAAUCGAUAACUAAAUGAUGGCCACUCAGUUUUGCAAUAAAGAGGUAUAGGCUUUCGGUUCUUUAGCAUCCAAAUAUUCUCAAAAUGUCCACACCAUGUUGUCGUUCCUCUACAAGCUUGGGGUAAGCACGAUGCAGAAUAUUGUGGUCAUGUGGAAACAUGACGUGGACCCUCGUGUUUACCAUGGAAAUUCUUUAGUCUUCUGCUUUAAGCUGCAUCAAGUUGAUCAACUUGCUCAUGCCAUGUGAGAAACUCUAUAGUUUACGGUCCUGCUGAUUCAGUACUCGCAAAUUAUAAAGACCACAUAAUGAUUUCGACAGUCUCCAAAUCUAAUUUGACUAUUGUACGAUAUGUUAAGAUAGCGAAGGUGUAUCAAGUCACCAAUUGUCUCAGGCAACUCCCGCAAGUCACAGCCCCGUAAUAUCAACACUCGAAUACUUGAUUUAAAGAAAACUUAUUUGAUAGCUAUCAAAAGAAAAAGAUGCACUCAUAUUUUUCUACUAUUGAUGUUGUGGUGGUGAUUGUGGAUGAUGACGAGCCUUCUUUGCAGGUUCCUCACCAUGAAAAGUAAAUCUCUUCUUUUAUGAUCUGUUGACCAAUGCUAGCGCAAAUCGAUAACUAAAUGAUGGCCACUCAGUUUUGCAAUAAAGAGGUAUAGGCUUUCGGUUCUUUAGCAUCCAAAUAUUCUCAAAAUGUCCACACCAUGUUGUCGUUCCUCUACAAGCUUGGGGUAAGCACGAUGCAGAAUAUUGUGGUCAUGUGGAAACAUGACGUGGACCCUCGUGUUUACCAUGGAAAUUCUUUAGUCUUCUGCUUUAAGCUGCAUCAAGUUGAUCAACUUGCUCAUGCCAUGUGAGAAACUCUAUAGUUUACGGUCCUGCUGAUUCAGUACUCGCAAAUUAUAAAGACCAUAAUGACUUCGACAGUCUCCAAAUCUAAUUUGACUAUUGUACGAUAUGUCAAGGUAGCGAAGGUGUAUCAAGUCACCAAUUGUCUCAGGCAACUCCCCAAGUCACAGCUCCGUAAUAUCAACACUCGAAUACUUUUUAAUCUUUCAAACAGGACAAUAGGUAACAAAAAAACCCUUCACUCUAAACCUAUAACAAUUUUUUUUAUUGAGAGUCUAUAAUUUGAGAACUCCAUUAACUUAAAAGAGACUCUAUCAUCAUCGAUUCUGCAAAGCUCCCCCUAUAAAAUAAACUAAGCAAGAUCGUGUAUAUGGUCAUAUAUCAUAUAUGCCCAUCUCAAAGGAGCUUGAUGAAAGAAAGACCUGUUCACUAACUCAAGGAAAUAGUCGUUUCUUAUGUCCUCCAUCGUCAUAUUGUCUUGAGUGACAUAACCUCAUGUAUCAUCCGAAGUCGUAUCAAGUUCCGUUCAUCUAACCGAUUAUCUUUGGAGAAUAGGAAACAGAAUACAAAGCACCAUUAAGGUGUGCAGAAAGACAUUGAUAGCUCAGGUGUCCGACUAAGAGAACACCCUCUUCGUUUUGCGAUAGUUAUCAGAUUUCACUCUCUGUGAUGCUUGUCCAGUGCUUCUCAUUCACCUGAAAGAAAGGGAAGCUGAUAUGCAAGUAUAAUCUUCUCUCAAAUAUUAAUAAUAAGAUAAUAAUCAAAUUAAAUAAAAAAAUUAAACUUCGAAAAAACACUUACAUAUCUUGAAUAAUUCUUAGAGUUGACUUGAAUGCUUGAGGCUUAAAUUAAUUGAUCUAAAAAUACCACCUAUUUAUAGAUGUAAAAUAUAAGAGUUAAUAACUUUAUUUAAUCUUAUUUAAAAAAAAGAUAUCAAUUAAUUUUUUUUUAAAUAUAUUUUUACUUUAAAAAAAAAUUAAGAAUUUUUGAUUGCUACAAAUCUAUCUAAUCUUAUUUAAAAAGAUAAAAUAUUAAUUUAUAAUCUUUCAAAAUAUAUUUGAACUUCUUAAUACUACCCGUUAAAGUAUAUUUUUGAAGAUAACUCUAGGCUUUGAUUCUGAUUCUAUAUCAUCAUUUUUCAUCAAAGAUAGAUAGCGAGAGAGACAUUAAGUUCUUUAUUUUCGUCUUUUGUGGAAUGGAGUGUAAGAUUUCAAGUUGUAAUCUAAUGGGGAAAUAGUUGACGUUGUUAAUUGGUUAAUUAAUAUGGUUAUCGAGCUCAUUCUUUUAUAGACAAGAAAAAGCAUCUCUUUUCUGUUGAAUUUAUUGAAACUAUUGCAUUUAGGAAUUGUUGAUAUUUCAAAAUGUCAAAACCCUAUUUAAUCUGUCAACUCAAAUUUUUUAUAAAAUGGAAGUGGCGUAAAACUAAAGAGGUGUUCGCUGCUGAUUAGGGCUCUCUUCAUGCCAUAUGCUAUAUGCAAGAGAGAAAGGCUCCCUUCUGGUUUCUUGUAUGGGUUUAAGUAAAGAACAUGAGAUGAUAUUAGCAAAAAGUGUGUUUUUGAAGGGUCUUCUGAGUUGUCUUGAUUGGUACUAACACAUAAAUUUUGUGUUAGGAGGUUUUGUGGAUCAAUAAGAUGAGUCAAUUGCGUUCUGUUUUUUUGGAAUAUAUACAUUAGAUCGACAUUGUAAUAUGCAAUUUCAGGUAUGAAAUGAAUUCUACACCAACCUGCUCAAACAUGUCAACUGUCUCUUUUGAUUAGAUUCAUUUCUCUAACUUUUCGGGUGAAGGCUUGUCAACUUUAACAUUACCUUGACCAAAAUCAAUGCAAUUUUUUUUCUCUUUUGCCUUGAAAAUUAUUUAUUUCUUGCUUAUAAAUGUCAAAUAGAAAUCAAGCUGGACCUCCUUAUAGAGCUAAUAAGUGUUUCAUAUUUUUUUUCUCAUGUAGUAUAUAUUCUUUUAUAAAAUAUGAAAAUACCUUUGAUAUUGGCCUAGCCCUAUAAAGAAAAUGAUUGGGGUCGAUAGUGGUUAAAACAAAAAAAAAAAAGUUCAAAAUGAAUCGAUUUAUUUUUUUUAUUUUUCUUCUUUUCUUGGUGAGUUGGUUUGUCCCUAUCUCUUUUUCUCCAAACCUUGAUUUUAUUUUUUCUUUAUAUUUUUAUUUUUAACCAUAUCUGUAAGUGCAAACCCUCUCCAUGAUAAGUCCGUCACAAGGAAUGUUUUUGAAGUCAUCUUUACAAAAAUUAUCUAUAUAAUAUUUAUUAUAAUAAUUUAAUAUGCGAUAAUAUUAUUUAGCGUUUCUACAUAGUUCAAAAUAAAAUAAAUGUUUACUAAAACAGAUGGUACAUAAAUUAUUGGAUGAGUUCUUUAAAAAAGAAUCUAUUUUCCCUUAUCAGUGUUUCAUGUUUCUGUUGUCCCAUAUAGCACCCCUUUUAUAAAAUAUAAAUACCCUUAACAGUAACAUAGCCCAAUGAAAAAAAUGGCUUAGGUAAAUAGCAGUCAAACUAGAAAAAAAUUAAAUUUAAAAUGAAUUGAUUUGAUGUAAUCUUUCAUUCUCUAUGCCCUACCAACAUAAAUUCUUUUUCUUAAUCCUAUUUACUCGAUUUUAUCUUUAUCUUUAUAUCUGGCAUAUCUUUAGGUACAAACCCUCUCAACCAAGAAUUAACGGAAAGGAAUUUACCUUUUCAGAGAUCCCAAGCCUGCUAGUAUCCACGACGACAUCGCAGUGCAAGGCUGAUCCUUCUUUCUCCAAACACAAAGGUUAGAGGAUUCUCAGAGUAGAUGAAUAUUUUCAGCUGCAAUGACUUCUUCUCCUCAAGAAGAGGCCUUCGACAGGGUGGUUGGCGACAUC
rnacentral:lncRNA from 1 species